rnacentral:rRNA from 1 species
GCGUGGCGGAUGCUACCAUGCAGUCGACGGUAACAGGAAGCAGCUUGCUGCUUUGCUGACGAGUGGCGGACGGGUGAGUAAUGUCUGGGAAACUGCCCGAUGGAGGGGGAUAACUACUGGAAACGGUAGCUAAUACCGCAUAAUGUCGCAAGACCAAAGAGGGGGACCUUCGGGCCUCUUGCCAUCGGAUGUGCCCAGAUGGGAUUAGCUUGUUGGUGAGGUAACGGCUCACCAAGGCGACGAUCCCUAGCUGGUCUGAGAGGAUGACCAGCCACACUGGAACUGAGACACGGUCCAGACUCCUACGGGAGGCAGCAGUGGGGAAUAUUGCACAAUGGGCGCAAGCCUGAUGCAGCCAUGCCGCGUGUAUGAAGAAGGCCUUCGGGUUGUAAAGUACUUUCAGCGGGGAGGAAGGGGAUGUGGUUAAUAACCGCAUUCAUUGACGUUACCCGCAGAAGAAGCACCGGCUAACUCCGUGCCAGCAGCCGCGGUAAUACGGAGGGUGCAAGCGUUAAUCGGAAUUACUGGGCGUAAAGCGCACGCAGGCGGUCUGUCAAGUCGGAUGUGAAAUCCCCGGGCUCAACCUGGGAACUGCAUUCG